rnacentral:rRNA from 1 species
UACGUAGGGUGCAAGCGUUAUUCGGAAUUACUGGGCGUAAAGCGUGCGCAGGCGGUUAUGUAAGACAGAUGUGAAAUGCCCGGGCUUAACCUGGGAACUGCAUUUGUGACUGCAUGGCUAGAGUUUGGUAGAGGGGGGUAGAAUUCCACGUGUAGCAGUGAAAUGCGUAGAUAUGUGGAGGAACACCGAUGGCGAAGGCAGCCCCCUGGGUCAAGACUGACGCUCAUGCACGAAAGCGUGGGGAGCAAACAGG